rnacentral:ncRNA from 1 species
CACUAGUUGUAUUUAUGAGUCAAUCGAAGCUAAACCAUUAUGGAAAACCUGGAAGCACUGGAUGGCCUUUUUUAUUUGGUGGAGCGAUUUAUCUGGUUGAUUCUAACAACAAACAAGGCUUUAACCUGCUAAAUAGUAGACUGAUCCUCUGUGCUCAUUUAGGGCUCGGCUUCUAUUGCUUCUUUAUGGAGUAGUGUGGUCGUGAUCCGGCGGAUACGUUGCCAAGUUUAAUUCUUAGAGAAACAAGUAGCACACUUAAGUUGCACGAAAUUGAGCAAUAAAAAGUCCGUGAUGCCCUUAGAUGUCCAGUGACCACACGUGCGCUACAACAACAGUGCCAGUGAGUUUGGAAAUCUGACCUGAAAAGGUUUGGCAAACUGUUUUAUCAUCGUCGUGACUGGGAUCAAGACUUGCAAUUAUUCUCUAUGAACGAGAUAUUCCAGAUAAGUGCAAAUCAUAAGCUUCAGCUAAUUCCAUCCC